AGACUGCAGCGGGGAAACGAAACCAAACACAAAGACAUUUCCUGGGGCACUGGAUUCCGUUAAGACUCUGAGCCUUGUUGCCUCUGGCUGCUCUGGUACUAAGAAAAAACCCAUGCAACCACCAAGAUCCUCAUUUAUAAUCAGCCCCCCAAGAAGUAGCUGCCUUUCUGCCCAGGCUGUGACGGCAGGCCGAAGAUGAAGGCUUUUCUUCUCACCCUGCUGGUGGCGGUUCUGUGUGUGGA